UACGUAGGGUGCGAGCGUUAAUCGGAAUUACUGGGCGUAAAGCGUGCGCAGGCCGCCGUGCAUGUCGAGUGUGAAAGCCCCGAGCUUAACUUGGGAACUGCGCUCGAAACUACUUGGCUAGAGUGUGGCAGAGGGAGGUGGAAUUCCACGUGUAGCGGUGAAAUGCGUAGAGAUCGGAAAGAACACCAACGGCGAAAGCACUCUGCUGGGCCGACACUGACACUGAGAGACGAAAGCUAGGGGAGCGAAUGGG
rnacentral:rRNA from 1 species